CUUUGAUAUUAACUUACCCCUAAUAUCCGCCAGGGGACUACAAGCGUUAGCUUAAAACCCAAAGGACUUGGCGGUGCCUCACACCCACCUAGAGGAGCCUGUUCUUGAAUCGAUAAUCCCCGUUCAACCUCACCACCCCUUGUUAGACCCGCCUAUAUACCGCCGUCGUCAGCUCACCCUGUGAAGGACUCAAAGUGAGCAAAAUGGGUAAAACCCAGAACGUCAGGUCAAGGUGCAGCGUAUGGGGUGGGAAGAAAUGGGCUACAUUACCUGCAGACAGGUUAUACGAAUGGAGCCGUGAAACCGGCUCUUAAAGGUGGAUUUAGAAGUAAGGAGGAAGUAGAGAGUCCCCCUGAAGCCGGCUCUGAGGCGCGCACACACCGCCCGUCACC
rnacentral:rRNA from 1 species